CUGAUGGGCUUCUGCUGAUCUGGGACUCCCAGAGCUAUCAGGCUGGUUGAUCCUCAGUCUCCCGAUGCCUUGCUGACCGUGCUGAGCUCCAAGAGAUUCCUAGGCGUGUAGUUCCCUGGCGAAAUGGCCAGUUCAUGAAGUUUUAAGGAGACUGCUGUCUGUAGGACUCCUGCUUCAUUUGUUGCAAAGGUUGGAAAGCAAGGGAAUCGUGAGAAGGCAUGAUCUGGAUCUACAUCUCUGCUUCACUGUUGCUGUAUUAUGCUGGAUGUUUGAUUUCUCAUUAUGUAACAAAAGGAAGAAAAGCACCUGCAACAACUACCCAG
rnacentral:lncRNA from 1 species